ensembl:lncRNA
CUGAACUCCACCCACUGGUCUGUGGAGUUCAGUGUAACAGAUGUACUUGUGUCAGACUGGAAAAAGACUUUCAUUAAACACGACAGGAGACACCACGAUGAAUAUUCAAAAGAGCAGCAGAGAUUGUAAUCGAGCAGCAGCUCCACAGGAGCUGAGGAUCCUAGGAAGCUGCUGAGACAGGCUCCCACACACAAAGUUUGGCUGAGAUGGAAAAAAAACUUCAGGAGGCAAAGACUGUGAUUAUACAUCAAGAGGAGGAACUGAAUUCAGUCAAAGAGAGUUUGACAGAGAUGGAAGCAUUUUACAAAGUGAGCCUGAAAAAAGCAGGUUUGGCCGCGAUGGAAGGGUUUUACAAAGAGAAACUCCAAGAAGAAAGAUCUGCACAUAAAGAAACUGAAGAAGAAUUGAGAUCAUUCAAAGACAGAGUGGCAGAAGAGGUUGAUCUUUCACUAAAGACGGGGAACUCUGAAAACAUGAACAACCCAGUGAAUGAAACCAGACUGAAAGAGAUGUAUGAAGAGCUGAGGAAGGACUGGACUAAAAACAAGUCUUUUCUGCAGACAGCUUACAGAAACACAGAGACAAUCAAAGCCUGGAUUCAGCGCAGCUUUCUAUGUGGGGAAGGGGAUAUGGAGCAGAAGAAGAAACUGAUAGAGUUAGCAUUUAACCUAAAUGCGGACCACACUCGAGUAUCUCAGAAGGUUCAUGAAUACACAAAGCUAACCCUUCAGAACCUUCAGCUUGCUGUUUACUACAGUUUUAAAAACACUACUGCUCAGGGGUUCCACGGACAGGAAGGUGAAACUCAUGACAACAGCAUGAAUAAUUUCCUCACGAAGUGCCGCUGGCUGAGCAGCUUAUUGGCUUUGAACAAUCCACCGCUUCAGCCUGACUGGAUAAAUCAUCAUCCCGGGCAAGAUGCUUGGAACAUUUUCCCACAAGAAAUCAGAGCUGAUUCUGCCAUAUCACUCUGCCAGGGCCACUCUGCAAAUGUCCUUAAAUGUUCUUCGCCAUCCCAGGACCCAGACAUGAACAAGACUGAAGAUUCCUAGAAAGAUCUUCGUAGAACAUGUCUUCUAUCCUGUCUUCCUUCUCUCACCCCAACCACUCGCAGUAGAUGGCCGCCCCUCCCUGAGCCUGGUUCUGCUGGAGGUUUCUUCCAUUUAAAAGGGAUUUUUCCCUUCCCACUGUUGCCAAAGUGCUUGCUAAUAUGGGGUCAUAUGAUUGUUGGUUGUUUUCUCUGUAUGUAUUAUUGUAGGGUCUACCUUACAAUAAAAUCAAGAUCAACAGAGCCUCGAGGCGACAGUUGUUGUGAUUUAACGCUGUAUAAAUAAAACUGAAUGUAACAUAAACACCUGUCCCCCUCUGCUGACAUGGCCCCAUGAGCUCCCUGCACCACCUCUCCACUGCAGCAGGCCGGUGACCACACCCCUGCCACAAUUUCAAAAAAUGUUUUCCCUUAACUGACAGUAAUGUGUUUGAAAGUACUGCUCUGGCAGUGUUACGGGGAGAGAGAGAAAAAAAAGAUCUUGAGCUGUUUAUUAUUUAACUUGAUUUCUGUUAAUACUUUUGACUUUUGUAAUUUAUUCUGAUAAUUUAAUCAUCAAAAAUGAUUUACAUCUGACAGUCCAUGCUGCAUGUUUUAUUGCCUUGGCUUAUACAGAACUAACAUGUUUGACUUGUGGUAAAAAGACAAUUCUUCCCUGUGUGUUUUAAAACUUGGGAUAUCCUUUAAGGAAAAUAUAGGAAAAUCAAGGAAAACACGCAUUCCUUCUUUGUUUUUGCAUCAUAGUCGUGGUAGCCUCAGUAGGUCACUGUUGUGUAUGUAUGUGAUUUGACUUUAGAAAAAACUGAAUAGAAAGAGUAGAAGAUGC